UACGGAGGGUGCGAGCGUUGUCCGGAAUCAUUGGGCGUAAAGGGCGCGUAGGCGGCCUUGCAAGUCGGUUGGUGAAAGCCCGGGGCUCAACCCCGGAGGUGCGGCCGAGACUGCAGGGCUGGAGGCCGGAAGAGGAGGGUGGAAUACCCAGUGUAGAGGUGAAAUUCGUAGAUAUUGGGUGGAACACCGGUGGCGAAAGCGGCUCUCUGGUCCGGACCUGACGCUGAGGCGCGAAAGCGUGGGGAGUAAACAGG
rnacentral:rRNA from 1 species